rnacentral:rRNA from 1 species
UGUCAAGGCUAUGAUUAAAUGAGUUUUUGAGUAAAAGAGCAGGGGAGGAAAAACAACAAUGAGUAAACUUGGACUAUCCGCAGGGCGUCCCAGCGAGAACCGGAAGAAGCAAGCACUGGCCGCCGUUACCGACGAAGGACGCACAGUGCGAGUGAAUUUCGACCUGAGCGACAACGAGCACAUGCGACUGAAAAUAUUCAUACAAGCUUUCGCCUUAAGAUGAGCCCAUGGCCCAUCAGCUAGUUGGUAGGGUAAAGGCCUACCAAGGCUACGACGGGUCGCUGGUCUGAGAGGACGACCAGCCACACUGGCACUGAGAUACGGGCCAGACUCCUACGGGAGGCAGCAGUGAGGAAUAUUGCGCAAGUGGGGGAAACCCUGACGCAGCAACGCCGCGU